rnacentral:misc_RNA from 1 species
UUUCCGUAGGUGAACCUGCGGAAGGAUCAUUCAUAAUAAAGUGUUUUAUGGCACUUUUCAAAAAUCCAUAUCCACCUUGUGUGCAAUGUUAGAUCUCGUCAAUCUUGGCGAGAUUUUUAUACAUCAACUCAUUCUUUAACUAAUUUGUCUGAAAAAUAUUAUGAAUACUUAAUUCAAAAUACAACUUUCAACAACGGAUCUCUUGGCUCUC